CCUGCCCCUAGGGGCAUUGUGAGUGUGACUGCUGUGUCAUAUGUAUGUCACAGUAAGUGGCAGAGAGACUAUGUCUAUGCUCAAUGUUCUGACCUAUGAGCAUCUGAAUAAUUGGUGGCCCAGCAUU
ensembl:snoRNA LOC120094919 small nucleolar RNA SNORA17